CAUGAUGGUAGGAUAUACUUUUACAUUAUGUUUCAGAACCAGCUAAAAUAAAGGCAGGAAGAGUUGGACCACCUCCAUUAAAAGAUGGCAUCUUAUAUGUUAAUGCAUAUCAAGAAGAUCAAAUGGUAACUUUCAUUAAUAUGAUUUAAUAUAAAGGUAGAACAUGACCUAUAGUUGUUAACUUCUAUGUCAUUUGGUCUCUUGUGGAGGAGUUAUCUCAUUAUCAAACAUACCACAUCUUCAUUUUUAUACGACCUCAAAAAUUGAAAAUUUUUUGGUCGAAUAUUGGUUUCAUGUUGGCGUCGUCAUCCGAAGACAUUUGGUUUUCGCACUAUAACUUUAGUAUAAGUGAAUAGAAAUCUAUGAAAUUACACAGUUUUAACCAAAAAGGAAAGUUGAGAUUUAAUUUGGAGUUUUGGUCACACAGUUAGGAAUUAGGGGGCCAAAAAGGGCCCAAAUAAGCAUUUUUCUUGGUUUUUGCACCAUAACUUUAGUAUAAGUAAAUAGAAAUCUAUGAAAUUUAAACACAAGGUUUAUGACCAUAAAAGGAAGGUUGGGUUUGAUUUUGGGAGUUUUGGUCCUUACAGUUUAGGAAUAAGGGGCCCAAAGGUCCAAAAUUAACUUUGUGUGAUUUCAUCAAAAAUUGAAUAAUUGGGGUUCUUUGAUAUGCCGAAUCUAACUAUGUAUGUAGAUUCUUAAAUUUUGGUCCCGUUCUUCAAAUUGAGCUACAUUAAGGUCCAAAGGGUCCAAAUAUAAACUAUGUUUGAUUUUAACAAAAAUUGAAUCCUUGGGGUUCUUUGAUAUGCUGAAUUUAAAAAUGUACUUAGAUUUUUAAUUAUUGGUCUAGUUUUCAAGUUGGUCCAAAUGGGGGUCCAAAAUUAAACUUUGUUUGAUUUCAUCAAAAAUUGAAUNNNNNNNNNNNNNNNNNNNNNNNNNNNNNNNNNNNNNNNNNNNNNNNNNNNNNNNNNNNNNNNNNNNNNNNNNNNNNNNNNNNNNNNNNNNNNNNNNNNNNNNNNNNNNNNNNNNNNNNNNNNNNNNNNNNNNNNNNNNNNNNNNNNNNNNNNNNNNNNNNNNNNNNNNNNNNNNNNNNNNNNNNNNNNNNNNNNNNNNNNNNNNNNNNNNNNNNNNNNNNNNNNNNNNNNNNNNNNNNNNNNNNNNNNNNNNNNNNNNNNNNNNNNNNNNNNNNNNNNNNNNNNNNNNNNNNNNNNNNNNNNNNNNNNNNNNNNNNNNNNNNNNNNNNNNNNNNNNNNNNNNNNNNNNNNNNNNNNNNNNNNNNNNNNNNNNNNNNNNNNNNNNNNNNNNNNNNNNNNNNNNNNNNNNNNNNNNNNNNNNNNNNNNNNNNNNNNNNNNNNNNNNNNNNNNNNNNNNNNNNNNNNNNNNNNNNNNNNNNNNNNNNNNNNNNNNNNNNNNNNNNNNNNNNNNNNNNNNNNNNNNNNNNNNNNNNNNNNNNNNNNNNNNNNNNNNNNNNNNNNNNNNNNNNNNNNNNNNNNNNNNNNNNNNNNNNNNNNNNNNNNNNNNNNNNNNNNNNNNNNNNNNNNNNNNNNNNNNNNNNNNNNNNNNNNNNNNNNNNNNNNNNNNNNNNNNNNNNNNNNNNNNNNNNNNNNNNNNNNNNNNNNNNNNNNNNNNNNNNNNNNNNNNNNNNNNNNNNNNNNNNNNNNNNNNNNNNNNNNNNNNNNNNNNNNNNNNNNNNNNNNNNNNNNNNNNNNNNNNNNNNNNNNNNNNNNNNNNNNNNNNNNNNNNNNNNNNNNNNNNNNNNNNNNNNNNNNNNNNNNNNNNNNNNNNNNNNNNNNNNNNNNNNNNNNNNNNNNNNNNNNNNNNNNNNNNNNNNNNNNNNNNNNNNNNNNNNNNNNNNNNNNNNNNNNNNNNNNNNNNNNNNNNNNNNNNNNNNNNNNNNNNNNNNNNNNNNNNNNNUGUAGAAUUUUUGCAGUGUUAGAAAGUGGUGAAAAUUCUAAAAAGGCUAUCAUUAUCCCUUAUGGGCCAGGAAAUACUACCGUGCCACCUUAAGGGGGAUAUAUAUUUUACACUAAAUCAAUAAAGGAACUUUUUUUACCCAUGCAAUUUGUAAGUUUAUCAAUAAAAAGUUGAUUAAGGGCAACUAUGAUAAAACAAAGCCUUAAAUUCCACCCCUGAGAGUAAAAAUUGCUGAUUCAGCAAAUUUUGGCUGAUGUGUAGGUAAUAAUGUAAAAAUUUACCUAGAAAGUAGAACUUCAUUAUUUUUAUGUAACUUGCAAAAUAUUUUUAAUUAUAAAUGCUCGCUUUAACUUUUCGCAGUGUCUGACACAUGUGCAACCACUGAAAUUUGAGACGCGACAUUCUUCGGUUGCAUGUACAUCCUAUUAUUUUCACCGAAAUAAAUAAAUUGCAUAAUUUCUUAUUUUUUUCAACACAAGUACAGCUAUACUAGUUUUCUUGAGGUUUAAUUUGUAGUUCUAAUGUAAAAUGACACCAGAAGGAGCUUUUGGGGAACCAGUAAGUGGUUAAGGGGUUCUUACUUAGUCAUUUAUCUCUCAUAUUGGUCUGAAAAAGAGAUAGAAAUAGGGUUUUCUGUACAUUAACUAGACAUUAUUUUUGACAAAGAAUGUAUUUAUGAUGCUAUAUCAGUAAGAUUAAAUGGUUUAUUCAUUUUCCAUGCAAAUACCAUUAGUUGUUAAUAUUUUCUGACAGUGAAAAGCACAAUAAAGGCAAAUUGAUUAUGUAAGGGGACAUAAUUUAACUUAAUGCAUACAUGAGAAAUAGACAAACAGUCAACUUAGAGAUGUAUUCUAGUACAUGUAUUGUCAAACAGAUUUUUGGAAUAAUAGUUAACUGCAAUCUAAAGACUCUUGUUGUAUUGCCCUCAUAAUCUGGAAAUGUUUAAAGUAAUAUAAGGCAUGCUGUAAAAAUGUGGAAUGGACUUUAAUAUCAGUUUUCAUGAUUUGGUGCUUAAACUGUUUCUUUUAGUCAGAUUAACCAUAAACAUAGUUGGCAAUCCAACAAAUAAUUCCCUCUGAAUCACCAUGUUUGACUUCUGUGUUGAUUUGAAACAUAAUAUAUUUGGGUUUUGUUCACUCCUUAAGUAAAAAUGGUAAAUGGAAAAAAAAGUGAAAAUCUGCCAGAUGGGGUAGGGAUGUAAUGUUUCAUUUUUUUUUGGUAAGAAAUGAGUGCAGACUAGUAUUCUUUAUUGUAAUAUGUUCCAAAGUAAGAAGUCUAUGAAUCAUAGGUGUCAUGACUGGUUUCAAGUUUGUUAUGUCUUGGUUAAGGUGGCACGGUAGUAUUUGCAUUCCAGAAUUUAGGUUGCUCUUUUGUGUACCCUACUUAGGUAAAUGUAUCUAAACAGUGUGAUUGGACAAAAAAUACAGUAUCAACUGAACAUACUUUCCCAAACUGAGGGAUGAAUCAGGUGUAGAAAAAUAUGAAAUAAUUUUACAUACAGAUGAAAAUGAAUUUUUGAGAAUUUUUUUAAAAUUUUGUAUUCACUGCACAGUAAAUGACCUAAAAGUACUAGUGGCCUUAGGUUUUUAAAAAUAGCAAAAAAAGUAAAGAGUCAUGAUACAUAUUCAAAUUCAUUUCUGAAUAGUAAAAUGAAAGUACUUCAGUUAACUGUGAAUGUAGAAUUUUUUGCAGUGUUAGAAAGUGGUGAAAAUUCUAAAAAGGCUAUCAUUAUCCCUUAUGGGCCAGGAAAUACUACCGUGCCACCUCCAAAAGUAGACAGUCUCAGUGCAUUUACAUAUAGAUACAUCUUAAAUUUGUAAGAUGAUCAAAAGCCUGAUAAGAAUUUUGACAAGGUUAUUUAAAUCAAAUUAACAACAUAUACUCAUAAACUUAACAUUUAUGUUACGAUUAAAAGCUUUUGGUGAAUAAACAUUUUACAUGUAUUAAAGUAUUUGUAGUACAAUCAGAGUACAAAAUACUACCUUCAGCUAUUAUUUCCCUUUUGAAUACCUCAAGAAGUGGACAUGGUAUCUUGGUACAUGUAUUUAAAUCAGAGUACAAAAUACUACCUGCAACUAUUAUAGAUGCAUUAUUUCCCUUAAAAAUGCCUCCAAAAGUAGACAUAAUACCUGGGUACAGCGAUCACAUGACAUAUCUUUCCGAUUACUGAUACUUUGAUCUCACCUUAGAUUUGCCAAAAUAGUAAACAAAAAACAUUUAACAUGUUUAAAAAAAUUGUCGUUCUGUAGUACAAAUUUUUAACACUCAACUGUGUAAGAUUUAUCAUACUAGAAAGUUGUUAGCCCUUUUAAAUUUAAUUGAUGAAUUCUGAGAAAUAUUAUAUAAAAUCAGUAAAAUCUGGAUUUCCUUUUUUAUAUUUUUUUUGUCAAAUGAUAAUAAGAUGUUCUCCAUCAGCAACAAAUUAUUUUUUGAAAAAUUGCUUCAAUAAAGGAGAACAAUGAAAUCCAGGUGAGCGAUUAUGUCUCCUGUUACUUUACCUACGUAAAUUUUACAGACGCCAUCACGAAUUGGUUGACCGUUUUGGACUAACCAUUUCACAGAUGAUAUCGGAUAUGUUCCUUAUGUUGUUACUACAAUACCCUUUCCCUUUUCACUAAUGUGACCUACUGAAUUAGACUAUUUCCGGAUUUGUAUUCACAUAAGCAACACGACGGGUACCACAUGUUGAGCAUGAUCUGCUUACCCUUCCAGAACACGUGAGUUCACCCCUAGUUUUUGGUGGGGGUCGUGUUGAUUAGUCAAUGUAAUGGUGCUACAUUUAAUGGGUGAAGAGAAAAGAUAUAUAUUUAUUAGUAGCAGAUUUUUUUUUCAUUAUGAAGAUAUGGUAUGAUUGCUGAUGAGACAACUAUCCGCUAGAAAUGUUAGCAACUAUAAGAUCACUGUAUAGUCUUCAACAAUGAGCAAAUCACAUACCCACAACUAUUAAGCUAUUAAACGCCCAGACAUAACAAAUUGGAAAGCCAUUCAAUUGAGAAAACCAAUGUUCUAAUUUAUGUCCAUAACAACAAAUAAAGAGAAAUAUUAUAUACAGUAAAAAAAGCAACAACUGAAUAACAGGCUCCUGACUUGAGACAGGCACACACAGAAUGUGACAGGGUUAAAUAUGUUAUCUAGUACAUUUUAUUUCUGAACUACUUACAGUGAUGAAAUCUAGCAUUUAAGAUUUCAGACUAACAAUUAUGUUUUUUCCUUGAACUACAUGUGACACUUGUAUUUUUUUAAUUUUUGACAGGAAAUUUAUGGGUAUGCCAAGAACCAAGGGAAAGAAAUCUUCAUGUGGAUUCUGUAUUUCUUGACAGUAGGUUUACUUCGGUUAUUUUUCUUCUGGUACCCACAUCUGAUGAUAGCAGCCACACAUGAAAAAAGUUUUUUAAAACAUGCAGUAGUUGUUGUGCUGAAGGUAAGAUUUAAUCUAUACAGAUGAAACUGAUUCUAUGCUAUCUUGUUAGGUAUGGUUAAUUAAAAAUGCCAUGUAAAAAAGGGGGAAAAACCACAAAAGAGUUAUCUGCUAUUUUCAUUUGCACAAGACAUGUUUUUUUGUGGUUUUAGUGAGUAUGGGUGAAGCAGGAUUUUCAGUGUUCAGCAAAGUACAAAAUCCCUCAAGUCAUAUAUGAAACUCAUACCACAUCUUUUAUUAAAAUUUGGCAAAACAACAAAAUAAAAUAUCCAUGAGAUAGUAGAUUUUCUUCAAUCCAUGAAAAUUGGUAAUCACAAAUAUAAAUGAAUCUACAGUAAUCUUCAAGAGGUUUGGUUAGAGACCAACAGUUUGGGAAACAAACACAUUUUAUAUAACUUUAGAGGCCAUAUUAGCCGAGGACCUUAAGAGAACAGUUCUAAUUUGCUUACCAUCAAAUUUUCUAGAGGAGUAAUAUUUAUGUUGGUCUUUACUUGGAGACUGGUACUUUAACCUUUAGAGCAAAUCUGAAGAAACGACAAUGCAUCAAACAAGGUUUUACGAUUGUUUUUGUUACUCAUCCUAAAUAUGUAUCAAAUAUUUGCCACUGGACAUUUAGCAAACAACACUCAACCAUCAAAUACUAUUUUGUUGCUAUCUAAUAAAUGUUAACUCCUACAUGUAUCCUUUUAUUAAAAUUAAAAAGAAAAUGUAUGUUUUAAAUGUAAAAAAAAUAAAUUGAAUAGGCUGCAUAUGACACUUUACAGCCUUAGUGCAAUGCAUUGAGGGUAAAUUAUAAGCGUGAACAAGAUGUAUCAUUUGAGGUAAGUAUUUCGGAGUCAAGUUUACAUUUGAUUUGGUCUUGUUAAUUUUGUUCUACCUGUACCUUUUAACAGUGGCAGAUCCAGAAAUUUUCGGAAGUGGAGGCCCACUGACUGACCUAAGAGGGGGCCCGCUCCAGUCACGCUUCAGUGAUUCCCUAUAUAAGCAACCAAAUUUUUUCCCAUAAGGGGGUCCCGGGUCCCCUGCCCCCCCUAAAUCUGCCCCUGUUUUAAUUUCAGGUAAAAUUUAUUUAUGUCAAUAUGUAAUAUAUAUAAAUUAUAAGUUAGAAAUUACUUAUUGAAAUACAACCUAUAUGAAUAAAUCCAGUCAUGACCAGUUGCAAAACAAUGCUUAUUGUCUGAGUUUACAAAUGAGAUCAGACAAAUUAUCACAAUAAACCUUUUUAUAUCUUAACUGCUUUAUAACUGCAGGUUGUAUUUUGUUUUCAACAUUAUAAAGUGCAAUAAAAACUUAUUUCACUUAGUUUUAGUAUUUAAAAUCUAAGAGUUUAAAAUUUAGCCCUAAUGUUGACUUGCCAUUGGCCAAAAUGUAACAUAUUUUUAUCCACUAAUAUUACACCAUUAAGCCAUGACAUGUACCUCCAAUAGUUUAUGCAUGAUUUUCCUUAUAGUUUUAAGGUUGAUCACAGUUCAAAAAUUAUUUACAAAUUGAAUAGAAUUUAGUGUGACUGAUUAAUUUAUUUUUUUUUAAAGACCAACACCUCUUUAUAUGUGCUGGAAUAUAUUUAUUUGUAUAUAAAAAAAAAGAAAUUGUUAAAAACCACAGAAUUGAUAAAGUACAACAUAAAAUGCAUAUAACUUGCUUGUUUAGUCAAGCACCUAAUGUUAAAAACCACAAAUCACUUAUAAAAAAGCAAUAAAUAAUCUUGUACCAUGACACUAAUAAAUAACAUAAUACAUGUAACAUGCUAUUAUUUAAUUAUUAAUCCUCAUUUAAAAGUGCAUCCAUCACUUAACACUUGACAAUAGAUAUUGUUAUUUCAGGAUGUGGUUAGAAAUUGACUUUCUGAGGUUGAUCUGAAUGAAUAUGUAUUAUUGCACCAUACAACUGCAUUAAAUGCAAAAAAAUACUAUAUUAUAUAUGUGUAUAAGUCAGGAAUCUGAUGUUCAGUUGUUAGACAGUUGGUUUUCCCUUUUGAAUGGUUUUACACUAGUCAUUUUUCGGGCCCUUCAUAGCUUGCUGUUUGGUGUGAGCCAAGUCUCCAUGUUGAAGACCAAACUUUUACCUAUAAUGGUUUACCUUACAAAUUGUGUGGUUUGGAUGGAGAGUUGUCUCAUUGGCACUCAUACCACAUCUUCUUAUCUCUUUUUAAGAUUUUCAUUAGAGAUAUAGAUUGGCAACUAGGCUAAAUCUCAAACUAUCAAACAGCCUUCUUGAUUUUUCAUUGGUGACAUAAAAGUCUUUAUUAAAAUAUUAUUUUCUAAAAAAAGAAUUCAGAAAUAUAUUUGAAUAACUCCUUCAACAGACCCAAAUCCAAGAUUUGAUGUUGGGGAGUCCACUCAUAUUAGGAAGUCAUUAAGAUUCAGAUAUUUGUACAUCUGUUCUACCAAUACCAUUUUUCUUGAUGUCAACCUUUGCUUUCAUAGACAUAGUUCAUAAAUCUUUAUCUCAAAAAUAUUUUGUGAAAAUUUUUUCAAUGAUUUUGGGAAAAAUUAUAAAAAAUGAUAGGGAGAAAAAGUAAAUAGAAGGAAUAAAUAUGUCAGUAUGAUGAAAGAGCUACAUGAAUAUAUGGUCUCUUGAUAUUUCAAUAGAUUACAUGGCCAUUUAAUGGAGUUGCAAAUCUCUUGUAUUAUAUUGUUCUGUUGAAAGAGCGACGAAAGAUACCAGAGGGACAGUCAAAAACAUAAAUCGAAAAUAAACUGACAAUGCCAUGGCUAAAAAUGCAAAAGACAGACAUGUCGACAAACAAUAUUACACAUGACACAACAUAAAAAACUAAAGAACCUUUGAAUUUUAUAACAUUCCAAUGCAUAUUCAGUUUUUUUUUCACUUUAAAACAAAAAUUGAUAUGAAAGAUUAAACUAGAACAGGCAGCUAUUUUAAAAAUAUGAAUUGUGUCAUAUUCAACAUGUUUUAACUAAAUUUGAUUUUUUUAUAGGACCAGUACAAUCAAUGGUUUGUGGCUAAGGUUAAAUUGAAGGAGAGGAAUGGACGGGAUGUGUAAGUAAUCAGUUACUGUGGAUUCAGUAUUAUUUGAUAAGAUACCAAUUUUUGUGGGUGCAGAUGAACCUAAAAUUUAAAUGUUCAAUACAUUACAAAUUUUUAUCAUGUUGUAUGCAGAAUUCUGCAAAUUCUCGAAAUCAAGGAAAAGGAAAGUUUCUGCAAUCCAUGAAAAAUUUGUACCCACCAAAAAUAAAUAUAUCAACCACAUACAGUACAUAGCUUUUUGUCAUGGACAAACUCUAAAAUGGUUGACGAUGAUAGACUUUUUUAAAAGAGUUAUGUCCCUUUGAAAUAUGAAAUUUAUGGAAAAUGGCCUCGUUAGCACUAUCACAUGUACAAUUCUUGCGAGAUUUUUAUAUAACUUAGACUAUAAGUUACUAUCAGCAAUAUCUUGGAUAAGUUUUAUAAUGGUAAAUUUCUUUUAUUUUGCCACACUUUGAGUUUAAUGUAUAUUACAUCAUUAGAUUAAUGCAAAAAAUAAAAAUAAAACAUAAAUGAAUUUUUACUGUUGAUCUGGUCUGACAAAAAACAUUUAACCAUAGUGACAACUUUGAUAAGUUUAUAUAUUCAAACCAAAAAAAAAAAUGCAGAUUUACAUAAUCUAUCCAUCUGUCAUUUCUAUCAUAUUUAGGUAGCAAUACACAGUUUUUCAAAUAGGAAAGUUAGUAUGUAAUAAAAUUCAUUUUUAGACAGCUGAGUACUAAUUUAGCCAUCAAAGAUGGUUUAUAAGAGCAUCAAGAUUGUUUUUAACAUGUUUUAUGGGCUAUUUUCUGUUUAACCGUAUUUUCAUAGCUUGACCGGCCAUCGGUCCAGAAAUUAAUGUAAUGUUUACAAACACUUUUUUUCUACACGAAGUUUUUGACGCAAUUUUACAAAAAAAUGAGACGAAAGACAUAUGAUUUUCAUUGGAUCUACUGAAUGAUAUAUGUACACAGUUUCAGAAAAGGUAUUACUUCAAGCGAUUGAAAUUCUACUUUUAGCCAAAUUUUGGGGAAUAUGUGACAUCUUUUCCCCCCUUUUUGCAAUAUUUUAUAGCAAAUAAGUGCAGAUUGUUGCCAUGGAUACACCCAAAAGAAAUUAUAUUUUACCAUUUUGUAUACUGGAUAUAAAAUCUAUGGAAGAUUCUGAUUACAUACAUAUGCACAUAUAUGACACAAACAAUAAGCUUAGUAUUGCAAGAAAGCAAUGAAAAGGGGAUAGUAAAAUUUAUGAGGGCAAAUUUUAAUAUUUUUUCCUAACUGUUUAUUGCUACCAUAAUUAUGGCAUACUUACCAAGCUCAGAAUUGUAUAAUUUAAGACUUUUCACACCACAAAUCUAUUGAUAUUUAGAUUCUAAAUCAACUUCUGAGGGAAUUAAGUCUUUAAGAAUGACAAUACAUGUCAAUUUUAUUGUUUACAGUCCUUAGCAACCAAAAUUAGACAUUUUGACACAAGGCUUUUAUUUGUACUCUAACAGCUUAACCGUUGCUUCUGAAGGAUUGGGGUGCAUGUAGUAGCCUAAGAAUUGAACGCGUUUGUUUUUUUCUUGCGAAUAUAUCAAAUUAUUAGCUCACCUGGCCCAAAGGGCCAAGUGAGCUUUUCCCAUCACUUGGCGUCCGUCGUCCGUCGUCGUCGUCGUCCGUCGUCGUCCGUUGUCGUCCGUUGUCGUUAACUUUACAAAAAAUCUUCUCCUCUGAAACUACUGUGCCAAAUUAAACCAAACUUGGCCACAAUCAUCAUUGGGGUAUCUAGUUUAAAAAAUCUGUGGCGUGACCCGGCCAACCAACCAAGAUGGCCGCCAUGGCUAAAAAUAGAACAUAGGGGUAAAAUGCAGUUUUUGGCUUAUAACUCAAAAACCAAAGCAUUUAGAGCAAAUCUGACAUGGGGGUAAAAUUGUUUAUCAGGUCAAGAUCUAUCUGCCCUCAAAUUUUAAUAUGAAUCCGACAACCCGUUAUUGGGUUGCUGCCCCUGAACUGGUAAUUUUAGGUAAUUUUUGUUGUUUUUGGCUAUUAUCUUGAAUAUUAUUAUAGAUAGAGAUAAACUGUAAACAGCAAUAAUGUUCAGCAAAGUAAGAUUUACAAAUAAGUCAACAUGACCAAAAUGGUCAGUUGACCCCUUUAGGAGUUAUUGACCUUUAUAGUCAAUUUUUAACCAUUUUUCGUAAAUCUUAGUAAUCUUUUACAAAAAUCUUCUCCUCUGAAACUACUGGGCCAAAUUAAUCCAAACUUGGCCACAAUCAUCAUUGGGAUAUCUAGUUUAAAAUGUGUGUGGCGUGACCCAGCCAACCAACCAAGAUGGCCGCCAUGGCUAAAAAUAGAACAUAGGGGUAAAAUGCAGUUUUUGGCUUAUAACUCAAAAACCAAAGCAUUUAGAGCAAAUCUGACAUGCGAUAAAAGUGUUUAUCAGGUCAAAGAUCUAUCUGUCCUGAAAUUUUCAGAUGAAUCGGACAACCUGUUGUUGGGUUGCUGCCCUGAAUUGGUAAUUUUAAAAAAAUUUUGCAGUUUUUGGUUAUUAUCUUGAAUAUUAUUAUAGAUAGAGAUAAACUGUAAACAGCAAUAAUGUUCAGCAAAGUAAGAUUUACAAAUAAGUCAGCAUGACCAAAAUGGUCAGUUGACCCUGAAGGAGUUAUUGCCCUUUAUAGUCAAUUCUUAACCAUUGUUUCGUAAAUCUUAGUAAUCUUUUACAAAAAUCUUCUUCUCUGAAACUACUGGGCCAAAUUAAAUUAAACUUGGCCACAGUCAUCAUUGGGGUAACUUGUUUAAAAAAUGUGUGGCGUGACCUGGCCAAUCAACCAAAAUGGCUGCCAUGGCUAAUAAUAGAACAUAGGGGUAAAAUGCAAUUUUUGGCUUAUAACUCAAAAACCGAAGCAUUAAGAGAAAAUCUGACAGGGUUUAAAUGUUUAUCAUGUCAAGAUCUAUCUGCCCUGAUGUUUUCACAUGGAUCGGACAACCCGUUGUUGGUAAUUUACUUGGAAUUCCUUUUUAAAAUUUUUAAGGAUAAUUUACAGUAACCAGCAAAUUUCUUUUAUGACCAAAAUAGUCAAUGAUUAAGGUUAUUGCCUUUAUAGUUAAUUUUUAACAUUUUUCAUAAUUUUUGUUUUAACUUAUUACUGGGCAAGUUUUAUAGAUAGAUAUUGUAGCAACAAGAAUAGUAAAGUAAGAUCUAUCACAUCACUACACCAAAGACUGUUAUGAAUUAUCCGUGUCCAUUUUAAUAUGCCAAUUAGAGGUCAAUUUUACUCCAUUUUAAAUGAUUUAUUGACAUUUUUGAGCCUUACUACCAAGUUUUUUAAUCAAGAUUAGGUAGCAAUAAAUAAGAUUAACAUUUUAAUGCUUGAAAUUGCAAAUUUUUGUACAAUUUUGCAUCAUCAGAUAUCUUAUUAAGAUUUCAACUAAAAAAACUGACCAAAAAGAUAUAUUUUUUGUUAAAGAUUUGGCAAAAAUGAGGUAGAAACAAGAUUUUACACUUUGACUUGGCAUUUUCUUUAAAUCUAUUGUCGACAGUGUCAACUCUAACCUUCAUAUAUUCAUGUAACAACCAAUUUUAUAAAGGCCAUUUUACUCGUUUAAGCUCAGAACACAGUUAGUUUAAAAAUAUUUACUAUUAAGCAUACCACAGCUCAGAAUUGUAUAAUUUAAGACUUUUCAUACCACAAAUCUAUUGAUAUUUAGAUUCUAAAUCAACUUCUGAGGGAAUUAAGUCUUUAAGAAUGACAAUACAUGUCAAUUUUAUUGUUUACAGUCCUUAGCAACCAAAAUUAGACAUUUUGACACAAGGCUUAUAUUUGUACUCUAACGGCUUAACCGUUGCUUCUGAAGGAUUGGGGUGCAUGUAGUAGCCUAAGAAUUGAACGCGUUUGAUCAAAUUAUUAUUUUUAUCAUUUCAUGUUGCAUUUUGGCAUAUAUUAAAUGUAUAGUUUGAAGAGAUGUAGGAAUUAAUUCCCUAACCAUUUUUUAAUCAAGGCUUAGGUAUGCAAUAAACAUAAAGAUUAACAUUUUCAUGCUUGAAAUUGCUAAAUUUUGUACAAUUUUGCAUCAUCAGAUAUCUUAUUAAGAUUUUCAACUAAAAAAACUGACCAAAAAGAUAUAGUUUUAAAGAUUUGGCCAAAAAUUGAGGUAGAAACAAGAUUUUACACUUUGACUUGGCAUUUUUCUUUAAAUCAAUUUUUGUCGCGUUUCAGUGUCAACUGCUAACCUUCAUAAAAUAUUCAUUACUCAACCAAUUUCAAAAAUAAGCCCAUUUUUACUCGUUUAAGCUAGCAGAGCAACACAGAAAAUUAGUAAAAAGGGAGAAUUCGAAAAAAAUAUUUACUAUUAAGGUAGCAAUACACAGUUAGGAGUUUAGUUUCGCAUUUUGGCCCCUGUGGAUUUUUCAAAUAGGAAAGUUAGUGUGUAAUAAAAUUCAUUUUAGACAGCUGAGUACUAAUUUAGCCAUCAAAGAUGGUUUAUAAGAGCAUCAAGAUUGUUUUUAACAUGUUUUAUGGGCUAUUUUCUGUUUGACAAUCCGUAUUUUCAUACCUUGACCGGCCAUCAGUCCAGAAAUUAAUGUAAUGUUUACAAACACUUUUUUCUACACGAAGUUUUUGACGCAAUUUUACAAAAAAAUGAGACGAAAGACAUAUGAUUUUCAUUGGAUCUACUGAAUGAUAUAUGUACACAGUUUCAGAAAAGGUAUUACUUCAAGCGAUUGAAAUUCUACUUUUAGCCAAAUUUUGGGGAAAUAUGUGACAUCUUUUCCCCCUUUUUGCAAUAUUUUAUAGCAAAUAAGUGCAGAUUGUUGCCAUGGAUACACCCAAAAGAAAUUAUAUUUUACCAUUUUGUAUACUGGAUAUAAAAUCUAUGGAAGAUUCUGAUUACAUACAUAUGCACAUAUAUGACACAAACAAUAAGCUUAGUAUUGCAAGAAAGCAAUGAAAAGGGGAUGGUAAAAUUUAUGAGGGCAAAUUUUAAUAUUUUUUCCUAACUGUUUAUUGCUACCUUACACCUACGACAAAAAUAACAGAUUUAAUACUUUAACAUACCGGUACAUGCACCGAUGAAUACUAGUACCAAAAAAUGGGCUGUCUUUCCAUUUGAAUAUAAAGGUAAUGGUAAAAAUUAAUUGUUUACUAAAUUGAAAACAAAUUUAGAAAGGCACUUGAAAGAGCAGGCAAUUUUGUAAACCAUCUAUGCAGGAGAUGUUUUUCAUGCAUUAAAGUUUAUUGGUUGACUCUAUGAAAUUCUUUAAAAUUAUCUCCAAAUCUUGAUAGAACUUUGAUUUAAAUUCAGGUUAUAUGUGAAAGCUGUAGUUACUACAUAUCUAUGGAUACAAACUGGGGUCCAUAUUGCAUUCACCUUGUCCAUUUAUUUGUCUGUCAUUCCCUCUUUGAGUCCAACAAAUAUUUCUGUCUAAUUUUUUUAGGUUCUGCUGAAUAUAAUGAAUAUAUAUUUUUUCAGCACUUUUGGGAUCUGUUUGUUGGCCUUUAUGUGUUGUUGACCAUUAUAGGAUAUUAUACCGACGUGUUGAUUGUAUCCAAUUUUUAUAGGAGUUAUGGGAUUUUGACAAUAAUGUGUAAACAUUACAAGACAAUGUUAAUAGGCUUUACUCCACCCAAUCUAUAUUGUUUACAGAUGUCAAUCUUAAUUACAAUGCUUGAGCAAACUUUUAUACACACAAAGCAAGCCAACCAAAGUCUUAAUCUACAAGCAUUAGGAAAUGAGCUCUAAAUGGGGGUGAAAUUUAUUAUUAAAUGAUUUCACUAUAUAUUUGUUUCUUUACAGCCAAAACCCAGACAACCACCAUGAGACCAAAAUAGAAGGUAUAUCCUAUAAGAAAGGACAUUUACCAAAUACACCACUUAAACAGGGAGAUGUAGUAGUAAGUGUAAACAUAUUUAGUACCAAUAUCGCCCCAAUUACAAUAUUAUUCAAUUUUCGCUAUAAAAGUACAAUUUUAUUGAUUUGGUUUGAUAUUUUUUAAUUGAAUAUACAAGUCAACCUGCAAUGCAGAUCUUCUUUUAAAUCCAUCCACUUUUUAGAACCACAUCAUUUGAAAAUGCAGGAAAAUCUGGGACAAUAACAUAAGUUUGUUAAUGUUUUAUAAUAAUUUAUUCUAAUAAUACUUAUGCUCUUAUAUACAGAUAUAUAAAUAAAUAUAAAUAAGCUGAUGUACACUAUUUUUUUAACUAUUUAAUUUCAUUUCAGUUGACCGAGGUAAAGUUAAAACACUAUCCCUCAUUUGCAAAGUUUUCUUUAAACAAUAUGAUUUUAUUUCAGUUGAACGAGGUAAAGUUAAAACACUAAUGUCAUUCAAACAACUGUCCGAUCAAACUUGUUAGCUUUGGCAUUCAGGAUUUCUGGAGCUUUUUUUUGGCUAGAUUGCUUUAAAGUCUGAUUAAAAUGUUUUAACAGUGUUGAUCUGGUAAUGUAAUGUUAUUAUUUGUGAAGCUUGUAGAGUUCUUGCUUAGUUGUGUAGGGUGUGAUGUGACUAAUGUCUUUGGGAUUUUUUACAGCUAUUAACAUGGUCAUAGUAUUGUUCAGUGAAUUAAAGUCUGGCUUUAGUUCUUUAAUUCAUGCCUUCUCAAAAAUGUAUGCUGAAUUCUUCCUAGAUUUCCCUAAAAUUAUGCUAAAUGAUUUCUAAAUGAACUGCUUAGUAAAACCUUGUAAACUAAACUCUUGUACCUGUCUACUCUGAAACAAAAUCUUCAUUCUCAAAGUUGCCCUAUUCCCUUCAUUCUGUUUCACUGUACUUCCUUUUAACAUUUAUUAAGUAUAUUUUUGGCUAGAAUAUCAAGUUAACAGUUAUGUUUAUGCCCUAUUUAUGGGCAUUAUGUUUUCUGGUCUGUGCGUCUGUCUGUUCGUUUGUCUGUUCGUUCGUUCGUCCGUCCGAUUGUCUUGCUUCAGGUUAAAGUUUUUGGUUGAGGUAGUUUUUGAUGAAAUUUGAAGUCCAAUCAACUUGAAACUAAUAGUAUACAUGUUCCUUAUAAUAUGAUCUUUCUAAUUUUAAUGCCAAAUUAGAGUUUUGAAACCUAAUUUCGCGGUCCACUGAACAUAGAAUUAUAAUGCGGAUUGGGGCAUCUGUGUACUAUGAACACAUACUUGUUCAACCUUGAAUUAGUGUAUUUGAAAUGCUUAAGAUAAAGUUAUUGCUUUGCUAAUGCUUACUGCUUCUAAAGUGCUUGCUCAAAUCAAAGUUUCAGAUUCUUGUCUUGAAUUUUUUUUUUUUUAAUUUAAAGUCUGAUUGAUACAUUGGCUGGAUAUACAUGUAUAGGUAAAACAAUGUAAUAGCGUAAUGUUGAUUAAUUGAAAAAUUACUGUAAAUGCGGAUAUAUUCUGGGGUUGUUAUUUGUAUUAUUUCAAUGCACACUCUUUUUGUACAGGGUAAAAUUUCUGAAUUUAAUAGCAACAAAUUAGCACGUCAUAACAAAAUGUUUGCUUUUUAAAAACAAAUUAUGCUGGAGAUAAUGUUCUAGAAGGUUGACAAGAACACAAAAUAGGCCAUAAAAAACCUGCACAGAAAUUUACAUUUUUUGUAAUAAAAGAAAUUUAUCCUUAUUCAAGGAUAAAUAUAAAUAAGGCAAAAAAGGCAAAAAAGUCAAUUAUAAUUAUUCUCUGGAUUAUGCACUAGUAAUUUCUAAAGAUACAGCCUUGACCUACUUUGACUCAAUUUUUAACAGUGACAAGAAAAGAAUAACAAUACAGGAUUUGAAUGCAUGAAGAACUGCAGAAGUUUAACAAUUAUGUUAAGAAUUUUUAAAUGUUAUUUCAAUACCCUGAAGUACAAUUAUUUUUAAUUUCUUUAUUAUAUAAGUGCAGUUUAUCAUUUUAUUGACUUGGAUGACAAUUUUUCAUAAAAAAACCUUGAAGAUUCUUUACAUUUGAUUGUGAACCAUCUAAUACUGUUAAUUAAUAACUUUGUCUAUGAUACUGGAGUUUAAUAUUUUUUUCAUAUAAAUAAACAUGUUAAUUAUUAUAAAAAAUAAAUACCGUUAGUAUUUUUGUGAAAUUUUAACAAACAAUUUUUUUUUAUUGUAUUUUCAGAGGGAACAGAGUCUUGUAAGAUUUUUUAUCACCAAGAAAGUAAAGUAUGUGUGGAACACAAAUUCUCAGGAAUUUGAGAAGGCAAAGUUAGUUUGUACACAGUUUUUUGCAUUCAGUAUAAAUUAAGGGGGAUUUCAUAGUACAUAACAUUUAUAACAUGUUACAAGUCAAUUUUGAUAUAAAUCAAUUUUAUUAAAAAAAUUAAGGGAAUGACCAUUGUCUUUAACAAUAUUUUUAUAAAGGUAUAUACAGCUCCAGUAAGGUACUCCCCUUAGGUCCCAUGGUAACAUUUUAAAAAAAAUUGCCUCAGGUCUCCUGGCAUGCAGGCCACUUUUAAGCAAUUUAAACAGUUUUGAACAUGUUUCAAGGUUCAUGUCCUUGAGACAUCAGGUUGCAUGGUCACCAGCCAAACCUCCCAAAGCUUUAUUAUAUUAAUAUCUCAUUAGAGUUCAAAACUAAAUUAUAUUAGAGAAAGUACAUUGGAAUGUGCCAGUUAUACCAUAUGUAAACAUUAAACUUUAGAUCUUUUAAUAUCUCAUAUUUCUUACAGGAUCUCUUUAAAAUUUGUUCCUAGCUUGUUCAAACGAAUAUCUUUAUCAGAUUCAAAUAGGGUGUAUUGAAACAAUAAUAUAUAUUUUAUAAAUGCCUCUUUAAAAAAAUUGAAAUCUGACAAAAAUCAGAUUGCUUGACUGUCAUGUUUGGUUAAUUAUCCGCAUUUCUAUGAAAAUUAUUAUUUGGAUUUGUCUACAUGUCUAUUGUAACUUUGGACUUUUUUUUUUUUAUUUAACAGGGGAUUAGACCAUUCAACAAGAUGCUCAUACUUCCAUGAAGCUUUGGGACUUAGUCAUUUAGAACAAUCUCAAAGGUAAGAUCCUUGUAGUAAGGUAUUAUACAAUGGUCAAUCAGAUUAAAAUACAGAUACUGUGACAGUGCUUUGCUUACAAGGAUCUGAAAGCAGACAGUUCUACUAUCUGUUCUGAUAAAUUUAAAAUCAACCAAUGAAAUUUCUACCUCCAAUUUUUUGAAGGUGUGUACAUGACAGAACCAGAGGUUUCAAAAGGUUGUUAAAACAGAAAGUAACAAUGAACAUAUUCAAAUCCUUGUAAGCAAAGCAUAGACACAAGAUCUGUAUUGUAUUUACAUUGUACAAUGGUUUCAGAAUAUGUAUAAAGAACAAUGGUUUCAGAAUAUGUAUAAAGAACAAUGGUUUCAGAAUAUGUAUAAAGAACAUAUUUUUUUGGCAUUUUAAAUCAGCAUCUAUGCAUUUCAGAUUCAUUUGAAAAUUAUAAACCUGGUAUCUUUGACAUGUUAUUUGUUUCAAGCAGAACAUAUAAGACUGAGUCAUUAAAAUUUGUUCUUUGGGUACCACAGUUUAACGGAAUAUAGAUAUAAGAAGAUGUGGUAUGAUUGCCAAUGAGACAACUCUCUAUCCAAGUCAUAAUUUGUAAAAGUAAACCAUUAUAGGUCAAAGUAGCAAGCUAUAAUGGGCCCCAAAAAUGAGUAUUGUAAAACCAUUUAAACUGGAAAACCAAUUGUCUAAGAAAGGACUAACAAGAAACAUUUAUGAACCACAUCAACAAACAACCACUGAACAUCAGGUUCUUGACUUAGGACAGGUGUAAACAGAUGCAGUGGCUGUAAAACAAGAGGCUUUUUGUUAUGACCCUUAAGAGGAGAGGAGGAAUUUUUACUAAAUAGUUUAUAUAAAAUUUUUUGUAUUUACAUUUUGCAGGAGAAAUGUAUAUGGCAGUAAUUCAAUUCAGAUCCAUGUGACACCUAUAAUUACAUUACUCUUCAAAGAGGUAAGAUUUAAAAAACAAGAAAACAGAAAAAUUUCAAGGUCAUCCAACAUGAAAUAACUUCAAGUCCAUAUUUCAUAACAUUUAAACAAUUUUGAGUUUAAAUGUACUGUAAUUUAUAUACAUAGGGGACAAAGUAUUCACACAAAUAAAAUAAAGUAGAUCAGUGCAAUAAAAUGCAUUAAGUUUUCUUCAUUUUUGAUUAUAGCUUGUAUUAUAAACAGGUCUUCCUGUUUGUCAUUGUUCUUGCAUACACUUAUGCUUGAAAUAUUCUGAUGAUAAGUUUUGCAUCAUUUAUAAACAUAAUUUCAAUUUAAAUUGAUAAAUAAAUACAGGGACUGGAAAAAUUGUUUUUUUUAGAAAUAAAUUACACCUAAUGGCAAAUUUGUUCUCUAAAAGAUAUGUACCUGUAAUUAUUGUUGCGUGGGAGGAUUUAAAGCUUACAAUUUUGUUAAUGGAUUUGUUGUAUAACAUACUUCAGACCCCAUGUCUUUCUUUUCAAAGUUAUUAUAUAAAAUGAAUUAAAAAUCUGCAAAAUAUCAUAGUUUGCGCUUUCCAGCAGAUAAGAUAUGAAUAAGAUGUACACAAAUAAGAUAAGAUAAAAUAAUCUCAGAUAAUUUGUUUAAAUUAUAAAUUUCAAACAAUCUAUGUUUUAACAUUCUAACAUUUUUACAUGUAAGUUGGUUGAUCUUUGACCUUUUAUUACAUAUAAUUUAAUUGUCCCAGAUAGUAUUUAUGAAUUGAAAAGUGAUUAAACCAGAAUAGACCAGAUUUCCCUUCUUUUAUGAAUUAAAUGCAAACAUGCACAGAAUUUUAUGUGGUGAUUUAUAUACAGAGUUGUAAAAUGAGAUUUAUAUUCAACAGUCCAUACAAAGAUAUUUACUUGUGGAGAAAGAAUAUAUACAUACACAGUAUGUUUAUCAUAUCGUCUUUUAAAAUGUCAUAAAAAAAUUCACAAUCAUAUAUUUUAUUUUAAGAUCACCUAUCCAGAUAACUAGAUCUUUAUACCCAAUGUAAACAAAUUUUGGAGGUAUAUAGGAAUCCAUUGGUCCUUGUAUACAUCCAUCCAUUCAUCAAGGAGAGAGAAUAAAAUUGCAAAAGGGGGUAUCGUCUUGUUUUGUUCAUUAAAUUGUUUUUUUUAUUUUUUAUUUAGAUGUGUCUGAAAGUUCUCUUUCUCAUUUUUAAACUAUACUUUGAAGAUUGUCUUCAUAAGAAACGUUUAGGUCAUUUAAACAAAAUAUAAAAGAACUGUUUCUGUGUUGUAUUUUUAAAGAGUUACUUGUUGCUGUCACUAUAGUAGUUGGUUAGAAUAUGAAGUUCUAUGAUUGGUUUAUUUUCAUUAUUACCUAUUAUUGUGGAUUAUUGUGGAAUAAGGGAAAGUUGUGGUUUGGUGGAUAGUUGAUUUUGUGGAUUUGCCAAAGUCCACAUAGAAGUCUUUAGAAAAAUAAAAUUCUUUGAACAUUUAAGUUUGUGUUACAACAGUACCUCUAAAAUCCAUGAAAAUUAGUACCCCAAGAUUAGUAAUAAUAACAGUUUUUGGUCCUCUGAUUGUAAGAAACAUUAGUACUGUAACCUUAAGAUUGUGCACAAGGACAUUUUUACCAUUAAAAAAUAUAUGCAAAUAUGUUAUUGAAUAAUUUAAAUUUUGUAGGUGUUGUCGCCAUUCUACAUUUUCCAAUUAUUUAGUUGCUGUCUAUGGUAUGCGGAUGAAUACUAUUAUUAUGCCUCAGCUAUUGUCCUCAUGUCGGUCAUAUCCAUAACAGUCACUGUUUAUCAGACCAGACAGGUAAGUUUGAGGUCAUUAUUAUCAGUCAAAGGGAAGAGGUGUUGAAUAGUUUGGUUGUUCUCUAUGGUAUGCUGAUGAAUACUAUUAUUAUGCCUCUGCUAUUGUCCUCACGCGGUCAUAUUCAUUACCGUCACUAUUAUACAGACCAGGCAGGUAAGUUUGAGGUCAUUAUUAUUAGUGGUAGAGGAGAGAGGUGUUGACUAGUUCUGAAUUUUCUGUAGAACACUGGUUAAUACUAUUAUUAUGCCUUGGCUAUCAUCUCUGUAUCUUUCAUAUCCAUAACAUUCACCAUAAUACAGACCAGACAGGUAAGUUUGAUGUCAUCAUCAUCAUCAUAAGUGAUUUUGGAAAGGUGUGGAAUUUUCUGCAGAUAACCAAUUUUAACUAUAAAUAAGCAUCCACAAUCUUCCUUAUGUCUGUCAUAUAUAUAACAGUCACCAUUAUACAGACCAGACAGGUAAGUUUCAGGUCAUCAUUAUCAGUCAAAGGGGAGAGGUGUUGAAUUGUUGAGUAGUUCUGUAUGGUACUCAAUGAAUACUAUUAUCAUGUCUUUUAAAUUACAAAGAAAUUGCUUCUCUUAGGAAUUUCAUAUAGGAAUAGGAGUCUUAUUUUACAACGAGAAGGCUAUAACUUUGUUAUGCAUUUUUACUUGUAGCUUCUUUAUUUCUAUUUGACAGAGAUGUUCCUAUUUCUUUUAACCAUCUGAGUAAGAUAGUCUGUUUAGAAAAAAAUAAAACAUUUAAAUGUCUAACAGAUGAGAUCAAGAAUCAAGUACUCUCUUAACUUAAGUGAAGACUGUAAGAUGUGUGUAUCUUACUUAAAUGAUUCUUUGAUAAUGUGACACAAAUGUUGUAAUAUCAUGCACAUCUUGCUCAGUAAUGUAAUCUUCAUUCUAAAAGUGAAUGCAGUAUUCAAUCAAUAUAUUAUUCUUGUUUUCAGAUGCAAAGAGCUUUGAGAAACACCAUUCAUUCCUCCAGUAUAGUUACUGUUUGUAGAGGAGGUGAUGGUGAGUAUAUUGUUGAUGCUACUUUAAAGUUCCAUCUGACAAAUGUGGCCAAGUUCACACCUAGUACAAUCACUUGCUUUAAUCUAAUAUUGAAAAUGUGCAAAAGUUAGAUUUCAAUUUGGAUGAACAACAAUUCCUUGAAUACAGCAUCUUUUAAAUGUUAUUGAUUUGUGGUGCUUAUGGUUUGUUGAGACAUGUCUUUGAACUUAAAAAAUGUUUAUAAUAUGGAAUAUAGGAAUGAACAAGAGAAGAACAUAUUAUAUAUUAAUAAGGUAAAUUAUUUAAGUUGGUUGAGCAGAAUGAUAGCAGGAUUGUCUUCCUUUUCCUUGUUUUUAUUCCAGUCAGUAACCAGUGAUCUGGAAGGUUUUUUUCAGUAUGGGCCCAGGGCCCCUCAGAAAUAAAUUCAAUGGGCCAUUUUAAAAGAUAAUGGGCCAUGUUGUCAAAUGAGUGGGCCAUUUGAAUUGACUUCUGUAAAAAAAAAAAAAAAGUAUUAUUUUUUGGCAAAGAGGUGUUGGUACUUACCUUUAUGAUUUUAAAUAAUAUCAUGGAUACUGUUCCUGUGAUUCUGUAAUUUCAAUGAAAUUGAAUAUACAAUAACUUCUUCCAAAACGGACAAUAUUAAAGAUAACCUGUAUUUACAAUGUUUAAACUGGUACUGUUGCCUUGGCUUGUUCAUGUUCAUGGUUGUUUUUUUUUAACAUUAAAUUUGGGUCUUCGUCGAUACCAUACUUAUUCCAGACGUUCCGUAUAAUAUUAGAGGACAUUUCAGGCACUUCCUCUGCACUUCUUGUAUUAUUAUUAUUACUUCAUCACGAUGACAAGAUUAACAGUAGAGAGUACCAUUAAUUGAUAGAACAAAACAAUAAUUCGCUGAAGUCAUGUUUACAAAAUGUCAAAUCGAGCCAAAGACCAAAAAAUGACAAGGACAGUUAAGCGCCUUUUAUGGAGACAAAAACUAUAUUCAUAAAAAGGCUUCGGGGUUUUUCAAUCGAAAUAAUAGCAAGCUAAACUAAAUUAAAAGAUUAUUAUUAGAGUUAAAUCUCGUCUGUAAUAGCCAAAUUUCACAAAUUUAAAGUUGUUUAUAAAAAAUUAUAUCGUGAAUGAUGGUUAAUUACAUUUUUUGGGUUAUCAGUUAGACCGCAUGGUUCUAUUAUUACCAUAGGAAAACACCCGAGACGUUAAACCGCAUGGUUCUUUUACCAUAUCUAUCUAUCUAUCUAUCUAUCUGUAUAUAUCUUCUGCCAAUUAAGGCACACCUCCUGGAACCCGGAGUACGGUAUAUAAGAAAUGUUACACUGAAUAUCCUCCACCAAUAUUUACAGUAGAUAACAUAGGAAAACAUAGGAAAACAUAGGAAAACACCCGAGACGUCCCAAAAAUAUAUAGGUGCUCCUAUGAUUGGAGGAACAUUAUACAGUUGUGUACACACACACAUGGCGGCACGGAACACGAUCGGAAAUCCAUUUGACGAUAUCUAAACGUUUCGAAAAGAUGUGAAAAAUAUUGUGCACCAUGUGGGCGCUUACAUUUGUCACUCUAUGGGCCAUUUCUGGUCAAUAUGUGCUAUAGGCGCACAGCGCACGUCCUUCCCGAUCACUGAGUAACAUAAGAUUUUGAACUCAUCAUCCCCUACAUUUUACUAGAAUGGUGACUGAGUCACUUAAUACAAUGACAUUCUUUAUUUUUAUAUUAGAUUGAGCUUUGGGGAUUUCUCAAGAGCAAAAAAAAACAUGUUUUUAUUGAAUGGAUACAUCCAUAAUUGGAAAAACAGGGAAAUGAAUCCCUGCUUCAGAUGGAUGGUUUAAAAAAAUAAAAAUGUUGGUAGUGGAAAAUAUGUUUGAUUUCUAUUUGGAAAGUUUUUAUAUUUUCUAUAUUCUGCAUCUAAAACAAUUUAAAUAAAAAUUGUACAUUUUUUGCAGAAUAUAUUGAAAUCUCCUCUGAAGAUCUGGUCCCUGGUGAUGUUAUAGAAAUACCUAGAUAUGGGUGUAUCAUGCAAUGUGAUGCUGUAUUAGUGGCUGGGAAUUGUAUUGUCAAUGAAAGUAUGCUGACAGGUAGGAAUUGUUGCAGGGUCCUAAUGUUUACUGAGAGUGAAGAGUUAUCAAUAUUUCUAAUAGAAAGAAAGAGGCUGAAGAUACCAAAGAGAUUAAUCAAACUCAUUAAAUGAAAUUACAAUAACUUGGCAAAAUCAAAACACCACCAAAAGACAAACAAAAACAAUCAUAGAAACUAAAGACUGAGCAACACCAACCCCACUAACACCGGGUUACCUCAGUGCUUCAGAAGUGCUAAACAAGUAUUAAUAUUGUUAUUAAUAAAAACAUGUUUCACACUGUAAAGAUUGUUGCCAAUCUUUAAUUUAAAAACAAUAUCUUUGGUUUCUAGAUAUUAAAUAA
rnacentral:lncRNA from 1 species